rnacentral:rRNA from 1 species
UGGGGAAUUUUGGACAAUGGGCGAAAGCCUGAUCCAGCAAUGCCGCGUGUGUGAAGAAGGCCUUCGGGUUGUAAAGCACUUUUGUCCGGAAAGAAAUCCUUGGCUCUAAUACAGUCGGGGGAUGACGGUACCGGAAGAAUAAGCACCGGCUAACUACGUGCCAGCAGCCGCGGUAAUACGUAGGGUGCAAGCGUUAAUCGGAAUUACUGGGCGUAAAGCGUGCGCAGGCGGUUUGCUAAGACCGAUGUGAAAUCCCGGGCUCAACCUGGGAACUGCAUUGGUGACUGGCAGGCUAGAGUAUGGCAGAGGGGGGUAGAAUUCCACGUGUAGCAGUGAAAUGCGUAGAGAUGUGGAGGAAUACCGAUGGCGAAGGCAGCCCCCUGGGCCAAUACUGACGCUCAUGCACGAAAGCGUGGGGAGCAAACAGGAUUAGAUACCCUGGUAGUCCACGCCCUAAACGAUGUCAACUAGUUGUUGGGGAUUCAUUUCCUUAGUAACGUAGCUAACGCGUGAAGUUGACCGCCUGGGGGAGUACGGUCGCAAGAUU